UAACGCCCUUUGAGCGAAAGGGAAUCCGGUUUCUAUUCCGGAACCCGGCAGCGGAACCGUUUCAAUAAUCGUUCCCUCGUCUUUAAAAACGAGUGUUCGACGGGGUGACCCAAAGUGGCCUAAAGACGCCGCCGAGAGGUCCGCGAAGUUUUCUUUUCUGCCUGAGCGUUCGAGUUCGGUGCCGGAUCUGGUCGAUGUUCGUACGUUAUGUUCGUUUUAGCGAGUUAGUAUUUUAAUAGAAUGCGGCCUCAAAAACUGUAUAUAUUUAAUAUGACACUCGCGAAAAUCGUCUUACGUUUCGGACUGGAUCCGGACCCGCGUUCUCCGGCCUUCCGCGGAUCUUCCUAGCCGUAAGGUCGUGUCGGUUUCGUUUCGUGCGCGAUGUGCGCGAUCGGCACGAUUCUGUACGACCGCCGUUCAACGGUCAGCUCAGAACUGGCACGGACAAGGGGAAUCCGACUGUCUAAUUAAAACAAAGCAUUGCGAUGGCCCUCGCGGGUGUUGACGCAAUGUGAUUUCUGCCCAGUGCUCUGAAUGUCAACGUGAAGAAAUUCAAGCAAGCGCGGGUAAACGGCGGGAGUAACUAUGACUCUCUUAGGGGCGAUACGCAUUAUUUUAAUUUCUCGAUUGAAAUCCAGUCGUCUUAAUCUGGUGACCAGUGGCGCGGUCACCAGUAUAGUGCACAGGACGUGAAUGGCUCCGAGGCUGGCGGAGUCACUCACUAUAAGUGUGAGAGACGAUGUCCUGUGCCAAGUAUACGUCCAACCCUAACGGGUUAAGUGAAAUUAGUUGCUCAUAACAGGGACGGUGUACCUGUUUGCUCGUGGCUGGCUAUC
rnacentral:ncRNA from 1 species